AUUUAAAUAGUUUAAUAAAAGAAAAUAUUAGAGUGUGGAUCUAAAGAUAUAAAAGUAAGUAAUAUUUUAAAUU